UAUACUCCAAUAAAGAUGUUAAAAAAUUUUUUUUAAUAAAAAGGGAAAAUUUGGACACAUACACACACACACACACACACACAUAGGGAGAACACCAUGUGCAGAUGAAGGCUGAGAUCGGGGUGAAGCAAACCACUGGCAAACCACCAGAGGUUAGGAGGGAGGAUGGGGGCAGAUUCUCUCCCAUAGGCCUUGGAAGGAACCAACCCUACUGACACCUUGAUGUAGGACUGCUAGCCUCCAGAACAGUGAGACAAUAAAUUUCUGUUGUUUAAGGCACCUAAUCUGUGAAACUUUGUCAUAGAAUCCCUAAGAAACAAAUGUAAGUCCCUACAUGUCUUUUGUGCCCAGAGAUCAAAGGGACUGCUACUGAGCAAACUACAAGUUGCAACAUGGGAUCCAUGAACUCCUUUCCUGCUAUUUUAACCUGGAUAGAGACUUCAAAAUCUCCCAAGAAUUUUGUAUUCAUAGCUAUAAUAAAGAAAAGAAAACCAGGUAGGCGAAGAAGAAAAAUCUAAGCUUCCCUUCUUGCUCCAAUUACUCUGCCUUUCAAAAAUUAGUUAAUUGUGGGGCUAGUUUUCAUUAUAGGUGAGGAGAUAGGGAACAAGUAGAAUUAGAAUAGUAAUAGAGUCAGAAUAAUUAAGAAAUAAAACCUAUACCUGGCAAAGAACCAAGGGAGUGCCCUCCCUUGUAUGUUUACUUUGUGUAUAUCCUUUUAUGUAAAAAUAGUUCAUUGCAUCACAUUUAAUUUUAGUAGCAGGGAAACACAGGCUUAUUAUUUACCUGUGAGCCUAACUACAGAUUCAAGGGCCUUCUGAAAUUCAGAAUCACAUGAACUCCAAGUUAUUCCAGGCCUCCUCCUCUCUCCUCUGUAAACAAUGAAGAAAUGAGCACCAACAGGCAGAAGGAAGAAAAGGGAGCCUCUUACCUCCAUGCUUGUGCUGAACGCUCUAGUAACUUUCGCUUUGAUGGUUAUAACUUGUCCAACUCUAGAUUAAAAAAAAAAAACAACAGUAAUUCUAGCACAUCUCAUUUCAGACUUGGAGAUUCACUUAAAUGUUUGUGCCAUAGAACAGUUCCACCUUAUGCUGAUAAUGUUCAUGCAUGAGAAACUCAAUAACAUAACGAGACAGCACUAAAAAUAGAUACUGAUUAUUGUAAACCACACAAGAGUUAGCUGACUACCUCUUUUUAACAGAAAACGGCCUUUGCAAAGAUGGUGUGCAAAAUGAUUUCCAAAUCUACAACAGAUACUUGACUGUACCACAGCUGUUCGGUUAAGAGAAAACGAACACACAUGCAAACCUAUACAAUUGAUAUUUUUAAAUGUUGGUUAACAAAUAAAUGGUAAACAUACAAGCAAGCAAACAAACUGAAUACCUUUACUCGGUUUACAGGAGCCCUCAAUGUUGCCAGAUGAUCCAUUCACUCCACAUUAUUACUGGGACUCUGGUCAUGUAACCCUAGUUGUUUCAAAGCUUUUGUGUUCUGGCCCUUCAGUCACCUAAGGGUCUACCCAAUAUAAGCCUCCUCAGUUUUUCUCCCUGACUUCAAAGUUGAACUACAUUCUCACUAUUCUUCUCAAUCUUCUGUUUCAGGGGAAGAAAAAUAGAUCUCUUCCAGACCUCUUUCUUUACCCGUGCCCUUGAUCCCAUCCUACUCUUACCUUUCUUCCUGCACCAUGGCCUGGCUUAGGCAGCUCUUUCCUCUUUUGUACCCUCAAUCUCUGCCCCUUCCUUGACUCCUUCUCAGUCUGUGAAAAUGUUCAAGGCUUUUCCUUGCUAAAAAUCUUUCUCUCAAGUUUAUUCUAUCACAACAUUUUUUUCUCUUCUCCUCUAUAUUUCUCCAUAUUCAAACUUCCUAAAAUAAUCUUUUUCUUUUUCCAGCUCAUACAUUUAACAAAUGUUUACUGAGUUACAACUAGUCCUGGCACGAAACUAAGACCUCAGGAUACAGUGAUUAACAAGAUAAGGUUGAUGACAUCAAGGAGACCAGUCUUCACUUGGGACAUCAGGAUGCAGACAGGUGAAGUGCAACGCUAUGAAAUUUUUCAAAAGGAAGAAAGAAUCAAGUAUUGCAAAAACACCCAGAAGUGACUAAUGUGAAAAGUCAGGGAAGGAGCCAUAGAAGAGUGUGACAGAUAUGAAUUCAACAGGACCAGUCUGUUCUGGUUCUUGGUUUUGAUUGCCCUUCAUGCAGUAUGCCAGUAAAAGUGGAGAAACCCUAAAGCUAUUUCUGAUUUCCUGGGGAAACUGAGAGAAGCUGAGGAACAGCUAAGUGGAUAUAGUCCAGGUAUGAUGACUGAUAAAAAUGACGGUGGCUUCAUUCAUUCUUUCUUUUAACUAAUAUUGAUUGAACACUUGUGCUAUGCCAGCCUCUCUGUAAGGUGCUGGAAAUAUAAAACAGCUACUAUCCCUAUUCUCAUGGAAUCUAGUGAGGAGCCAGACAUUAAUUAAAUGAAUACAUAAUAACAAAAUGAGUUAGGUGAUCUGAAGGAAACAUGGAUUUUGUGAGGGUCUGUAAACUGAGGAACCACACCUAGGUGGCAUGUCAGGGAAGGUUUCCCUGUGGAGAGGAUGCUUGAAGUAAGAUCUGAAAGAUGAGAAGGAGUAAAACAGUUGUGUGUUGUGGAGGAGAGCAGGGAAGGGCUUGCUGGGCAGAAGGAACAGUGACUACAAAGGUCCUGGGGUUUUUGUGGCAAAAAUGCAAAAAGCAAGAAGGAGAGUAGGUAAGAUAAGGCUGAGGGGAAGGCUGAGGAUAAACCAUGCACAGGGCCUUGAAGCUCUUGGUUGACAAUUUUUAUAAUAUUUAGUAUUAAAGAUAUUGUUUCAGUAUCUUCUGGUCUCCAGAUGAGGCCGGUGGCUAAUUCUAACAAGGUCAGUGGCUAAUUCUAAUCCUUGUUUUCCUACAAGGAUUAACAUUAACCGUGUUUCCAAACCAACUUUAUCAUAAAGGUUUCUUCAAUAUUGUAUUAUUAGUAAUAUAACUAUUAAGGUCCACAGUAAUUGGUUAUCAAUUGACUCCUGCUGUGAUCCGAGUUUCCAAAGGUGUAAAACCAUAGAAAUCUUAAUGAAAAUUGCAGGAGGGCAAUUGUUUCUCCAUUAUAGGACAGAAGCACUAAGUGAGGUAACUUUAAAAGUCACAUCAAUAUUCACAUAAUGAAUUCAGUUGCCAUGGCAAUAGGCAUGGCAACUGAAUAAUUUCUAUACUUGUUUCUCAUACAUGUGAAUUACUUUUAUAUUCAUGUCUCCAUUAUUGUUAUUAUAACAGACCUCAAAUCCUGAUAAAAACUGUUAAGACAGAAACCAAACAGACCUAUCAACAAACAGAAAAUAAACAGAUUGGCAUCAGAUAUAUGACUGAAUUUUGCGGGUGGUUAACACACAGGGGAUUAGAAACUCUAUGCACACUCAUUGAAGAAAACAGGAAUUUGUAAUCAGCUGAGCUUUACUUUUGUCCUGUAUAAAAUAAGAGUCCUGGGAUACACGAUCUUAAGCUCCUUCCAGCUCUAAUAUUUUAUCCUAACAUAUUUUACUUAAAAUGUACAUUUGCUGAGUCUAUUAAGUGCCUUACGCAAACAAAGCCUGGCUUCCUUUUAGAAAUGAGAUUCCAAGUUCUGGACCCAUCCAUCCAAUUACCCAUCCAUAUAAUCAGGAAGUUUUUAUUUAGUGCUUACUUAUUAAGUGCUUACUAAGCUUCAGUUUACAUGCUAAUUGGCCAGGCAGGAAAUAAAAGGUGAACAUAUAUGUACACAAAGUAAUUACGGAUUGUGCUAAGUGGUGUGGAGGAAUUUGGAAAGGGUGUUGUGAUGAAAGGGUGCAAAUGUAAAGCAGGUAGUUAGGAAAGACUGCUCUGCAUAAAUGAUAUUUAGUGGAGAUGGAAUGCAUGGAAAGGCCCAAGAGAAGAGUGUAAAGGCAAAAAUAACAGCAGGUGCAAAGGUCCUUCGCAGAGACUACAUGACGGUGUGGAAGGCAACAAACUGAAUUCAGAAGCAGAUAUAAGAGGUGAGUGAUGUAUUAAACUAGACAUUAAAGAGAUUUGCAGAAAUGUAAACCAGUACUCUACAUUUUUGUUCUUGCUGAAAAUAUAGUUAUUUUACAAUAAAAACAUGUAAUGG